GCCUUCAUAGCUCAGUGGUAGAGCACUGGUCUCGUAAACCAGGGGUCGGCAUUUCGAUCCUUCCUUCUGACA
rnacentral:tRNA from 1 species